UCACUUACCUGGACGGGGUCGAUGGGCGAUCAAGAAGACCCAUGGCCUAGGUCAUCGGCCUCCAUUGCACGCGGGAGGUGCGAUGGCUUAAGGUCUGCUCAUUGUAGCAGAGCCUAUGUCAUAAUUUGUGGUAGCAGGGGCCUGCGUUCGCGCGGCCCCUAC